rnacentral:rRNA from 1 species
GCAUAACGCGAAGAACCUUACCAGGUCUUGACAUCCCUCUGACCGGUCUAGAGAUAGGCCCUUCCUUCGGGACAGAGGAGACAGGUGGUGCAUGGUUGUCGUCAGCUCGUGUCGUGAGAUGUUGGGUUAAGUCCCGCAACGAGCGCAACCCUUGAUUCUAGUUGCCAGCACUUCGGGUGGGCACUCUAGAGUGACUGCCGGUGACAAACCGGAGGAAGGCGGGGAUGACGUCAAAUCAUCAUGCCCCUUAUGACCUGGGCUACACACGUACUACAAUGGCCGGUACAACGGGCUGCGAAGGAGCGAUCCGGAGCCAAUCCUACCAAAGCCGGUCUCAGUUCAGAUUGCAGGCUGCAACUCGCCUCCAUGAAGUUGGAAUCGCUAGUAAUGGCGCAUCAUCUACGGCGCCGUGAAUACGUUCCCGGGUCUUGUACACACCGGGUCUUGUACACACCGGGGUCUUGGUACACACCGGAGGUCGGUGGGGGA